CCAAAUCUAGCUUUGCCCACGAAUGGCAUCCCAACAGAGUUAAAGAAACUGCUUGCAGGGGCAUGAGCUACUGACCCCAGCCUAGAUGACCUUUAAGCUUGCUUUCAACCUGCAUUCUGGAGUUAUUAGCUUUUCAGCUGAGGUUUUUAUUAAAUGGUUUUAUUUGUCAUCUUCUGUCUGCCCCCUUGUGGACAUUGUUUUGGGAAGAAAAUAAAAUAUUUAAUUGCUCGAAGAACAAUAUAAUGACCAUCUCACCCUCCAAAAAUUCACUUGCAUCACACUGUUUGUUUUCAGUUAUUCAUGUUCACUUCUAGUCGUCGUUCAUAAAUGUACAUCAUUUUACAUGGUUGAAUCAUAUCAGGGACAUAAUUUUGUACUUUCCCCCCUCCCUGAUAAAGAUGAUGUUUUUACAGUAAAAUAAAAAAAUGCUUGUGAUUC
rnacentral:lncRNA from 1 species